GUUGGUUGGGUUUUUGAAUAGAUUAUAUCAAGUGAUGCUAAGAUUAAUUUACCUUGAUUAGUUGGAGUUCCUGAAUGGAUUAUAUCAAUUGAUGCUAAGAAAAAAAUUUCCAGGUUAACAAGAUAGCAUAAUAGUAAUACAUUCUAUAAUUUACCUGGGUUGGUUAUGGUCUCAAAUGAUGCUGGAGAAAAUAAUUUAGAUAAACUUUCUAAGCAGUGCAUUGUUUGGAUAUAUGAAAGAUAUUGUUUUUAAAUAUCCCUUUACCCACACAUGAUGGCUUGGUGCAUUUGUAAUACAUAGUAGUAUUAUAACUAUCAUAUUUUCUAAAAUGUGAAGGAAUCAUAAGGUAAUAUUUAUAUAUAAAGUAUAUAUGCAAUCAGCUUGUUAAAUUGAGGAUACAAAUUUUAAGCUUAAGCAAAAAGUCACGCAACAAAACAUCAAAACACAAAAAAAAAGUAUAUCAUGCAGCACAAUACGAAUCAACACUGCUAUUCUGAUUCAUUCCAUGAUUAUGCUUAUAUUUAUAUAAAAAUCCUAUAUUAUAGAUUUUUAUAAAUUAAAUCAUAUCUUAUUUUGUAUGUUAUAUAAAUAUCUUUUUUUGUAUUUUAUAAUUAUAAUAAAAAAAAGUUAUUAUUAAUAUAGUUUCAAAUAACAAAUAUAUUCAAAAUAAUUUUAAUCAAUAAUCUUUUAUAAUAUCAAGUAUUAUAGUUGUUAUUUCUUUUUUUC